CAUAUAAUCAGUGAAUUAUUGCGUGUUAUUGUUUUGUUGCCUACUGUUAAUGCGUUUUAAUGUUUAUUUGGUGUGAAAACAUAGUAUUUAUGUCAGAAGGACGCCACGACGUACACAAAGCUAAGUUCAGUUGAAUCGAGGCUCUACAUGGAGAUACUUCUAUUAAAGACUACGAUGUGGGCAGAACAAUGAAGUAACAACCGAAAUAAUGGAUGAAAUGACUUUUGUACGACAAAGAAAAAUCAGUUCAAACGUCGUAGAGUCAAAGUCUAAAAUAGAGAAACACGCCGCGGGGCGGGCAAAGAACUAAUGUUGGAUGGCAUGAUGAAAUGUGACAGUUCAUUAUGCGGAAGAUAACGGACGCCACAGCAUACAGUGAACAAUUGCAGUGAAGAGGGGAGUGGUCGAGAUGUCAGACCAUGUUGUGAGUUGAAUUAUGGCGUUGUACGAAUUAAACACGUCGUGUGAAAAUGGAAAACUUUUUUGGAAACGAGGGCUUCUGAGAAGAUGUUCGUGAGUUUCAACGAUUCCACAAAAAGAAAGUCCACACCACGGAGCAGUUGGGAUUCAUAUUUAUCACUUCACAGCUGCGCACCUAUGAUCGAUCUCAUCCAAGAUGGCGGCGGGCGCGCCGCGCGAACAGGCGGGAAACAAGCGCAUGCACACCUCCUCCUAUAACGGACCCGUCAAUCUCCCGGCACAUAUGAAAUUAGAACACUUUAUUCUUAUAUAAAAUGAGUCCAGCGCAAAAUACGUGUUGUCUCGCGGACGGUAUACGUUGCACUAAAUUAACAAAAAACAGUUUUAACGUAUUCAAAACUUGAAACCCAUAAAACAUAAUCUCCCCCAUUAUUAGUUUAUGGCUUGCGACUGUUACGGGGCCUAUUAUGCUGUUAUUUUUCUGUGUAUUGCUGUUUGUUUUGACUGUAUAGCGGUCUGGGUUGCCCAAUGUGGGGUACCAUUACAGAAUGCUUCUAUUGAGUAGGUGCCUGUUAUCCGUUUUUAAGUGACUCUAUUAUCAUACUUGUUUUUGUGUUCUGUUGUAUUCUACAUUUAUUGGAAACAAAGAGACGAUGUUGCUUCUUGAUUGGAAUUUUUAGAACUUAA